rnacentral:rRNA from 1 species
CGGCGACGCGGAGCGAAUCCAAAAAUCGCGCCCCAGUUCGGAUUGUAGUCUGCAACCCGACUACAUGAAGCCGGAAUCGCUAGUAAUCGCGGAUCAGAAUGCCGCGGUGAAUACGUUCCCGGGUCUUGUACACACCGCCCGUCACACCAUGGGAGUCGGGAAUGCCCGAAGUCAGUGACCCAACCUUAGGGAGGGAGCUGCCGAAGGCAGGCCUGGUGACUGGGGUGAAGUCGUAACAAGGUAGC